rnacentral:rRNA from 1 species
UACGAAGGGGGCUAGCGUUGUUCGGAUUUACUGGGCGUAAAGCGCACGUAGGCGGGUCGUUAAGUCGGGGGUGAAAUCCCAAGGCUCAACCUUGGAACUGCCUUUGAUACUGGGGAUCUCGAGUCCGGAAGAGGUUGGUGGAACUGCGAGUGUAGAGGUGAAAUUCGUAGAUAUUCGCAAGAACACCAGUGGCGAAGGCGGCCAACUGGUCCGGUACUGACGCUGAGGUGCGAAAGCGUGGGGAGCAAACAGG